UUUCGGUUUUCUGUAAUGACAACAAUGUAGAAAACAAGCCCCUGGGAUAAGUACAGGUGCACGGAACAUGCUUUGGAAGACACUAGUCCUGGGGAAAUCCAGCCCAUCCUUUAAGACGGCACUCAAAUCUCAUCUCUGGCAGGAAGCCAAGCAGAACCACUGCUCGUCACGUCUCCCCUCUCCUUCUCAGGAAUUCCUACAGUACUCACGGAUACAGGUGCAUCAUUUAUAACUGACCGCUCUUUGUGAGCUGAAAGCUAGGAAUACAGCAGGUGCUGAGACAUAUGGGCUGACUGACAGAUGAGGAAUACUUUUUACUGGUUGCAAAGAGGGCUUGUGAGAUAAGGAUGAGUCACGAAAAGAGGGCUGUAGAGGACUCCCAUUGAGACAGAGGACGGAGCCCCCGAGCAGGCUCCCGGAACAUUGUGAAAACACGGAGACUUGGAGGCUCUUCUGCGAAAGAGUGAAACCUCUCUCAUAAAGACACACAAUGACUGGAGAACGAGGUCAAUGUGUUUUGCCUCUGGGGCCCACACUGGCCUAGACAUCCCAGUCCUGCGGUGCUUUCUGGUCACAGCUGUCAACAAGGAAACAAAUGCAGUCCCCACCCCAGCAUGCAGCUUCACUUGAGAGGCUGGAGAGGGAUGUGGCACAAACUCACAUGCUGUCAAUGAUCCUGAGGAAGACGCUGCAGUCCUGGAGCUGCAGCACGGCCUCCACGGGGUCAGCCACGUGCAGACUGUUCACCUGCGAGGCAAAGGGAAGAGCCUGGUGAAACCAUCAUAAGUGCAAGAAGCCCCGGGGAGGAGGGGGGCGGAGUUCCACUCCCUUCCCCAGGUGUUGACAUUCUGUUUGUUCCAACUGCCUAUAGUUGUAACUAAAGGAAUGAGAGAACAGGUGAUUCUAGGACUUGUAACUUCCAGCUCAACCACUAACAGCCACCUGAAUGCUGCCAUCAGAGUCCUUCCUUUGGUUUCAACUAAAUAAGAGCUUAAAUUCUCCCAGAAUGUUCCAGCACUUGGGGUGUACUUUAAAUAUAAUCAGGCAUAAAAUGGUUCUACAUGAAUACUGAUAGUUUCUAGAAGAAAAUCGAACCACCACUGCCUCUGAAGAGAGGAACUUGAUGGUUGGGAGCUGAGGUAGGAAAAAGGCUUUUUAUACUCUAGCCCUUUGUAUUUCUUGAAUGGUUACAUUAUAAACCUUCGUAGCUCAAAUUUUUACAGCUAAAAUUUACAGAAUGUUAUAGCUCUUGAAAUUUGAAUUUUGCGUCUACUCAAAAUUUACAUUAUAUACUAUAUAUAUUUUAUAUACUCCCACACAGAUAAAAAAUCUUGUGAUUGAUGCAUUUUAAAAUUCUUUCCAGACAUGAAACUUCAGCUGAGGCAGGGAGAAAUGAUGAGGCAACAAGAUAAGAAGAAGAAGGGAGGAAGGGAAAGAAAAGCUAGGAACCCCAAAGAAAAACUUGUCAAUAUCCAAUGGCCUCUCCCUUUCCUUGCCUUCAGGCAGACAUUCACCUAAAUCAGUCUUUCCCACUAGAAAGUUCACCAGCAGUCACAUGCAAAUGAAACAGGUACACAGGUUAUUCAACAAGCAUAUAUGGCUGACUUCUACAGGAAAACCUCAUAAAUUCCACAGGUACCAAGUUCAGAAGCCCGGGCUGAAGUUCACCUUUGUAGUACCUUAUUAAGAAGGAAGGGUCUGCUAAGUCAAUCACAUAUGCAAGACUGAGGGAGAAGGGAGACUUAUCCUGCUUUACAAGUUAUUUUUUAAAACUUCAGCAUAGUGGUUAUGCACAAACGAGUAGAUUCUAUUUAUAAAUGUGCUCUUUAUUUUUUUAAUUGAAGUAUAGCUGAUUUACAAUAACCUGUUAGUUUCAUAGUGAUUCAGUAUUUUUGCAGAUUAUCCUCCAUUAUAGGUUAUUAUAAGAUAAUGGGUAUAAUUCCCUGUGCUAUACCGUAUACCCUUGUUGCUUAUCUAUUUAUGUGUAGUAGUUCUGUAUCCGUUAAUCCCUUACCCCUAAUGUGUCCCUCCCACUUAAAUGUGCUCUUCAACAGGCACUGGGCUGGGGGCUCCCAGACAAGGAUUUUUGAGUCCAGCUCCUCCACUAACUUGCCAGGAACCUUUGUUAUCAACUUUGUUUCUUUCUGUAACUGUUUUCUCACUUGUCAAACUUAUCUACCUUAAAAGACCAGUGUGUGUUCAAAUGGGAUUGUGAAUGCAAGAACACAUUACGAAAUAAAAGUACUAAAUGCAAAGCA